rnacentral:SRP_RNA from 1 species
GGGUGUGCUGGUGCACUCUUGUAGUCCCAGCUACUCUGGGAUUUGGAGAUUGCUUGAGCCCAGGAGUUCCAGGCUGUAGUGCACUAUGCCAAUAGAUCGGGUGUCUCCACUAAGUUCAGCAUCAAUAUUGUGACCUCUCGAGAGCCAGGGACCACCAGGUUGCCUAAGGAGGAGUGAACCAGCCUGGAAACAGGAACAGGUCAAAACUCCUGUGCUGAUCAGUAGGAAUAUUGGUCAUCAUUAAAAGGCUGAUACAGUAAACUUAAUGUAAAUCAAUU